GAAAGAUUACAUGUUUUGAUGAGAAUAGAGCAUCAUAUUUCCCAUCCUUUUCUUGAGUUAACAACUACGAUAUAGAAACUGGUAUAAUAUGACCACUUUUGGUUUCAUCAGUCCUUGAAUAGAAGUUAUCAAAGUAACGUUUCUUCUUGGAGAUCUUUGGAUGUCAUUUGUAUUCCUGGGAAGGAAACAACAUAAAGUAGUUUAUAACCAGCUAACCCACUUCUCCCUUGCCCAUAAACAGCAUAAAGAAGAUUAAAUGGUAUCAUGACACUAUAUUUUCUGACAAAGAAUUUAUAAAUGGCUAAACCAAGUAAAUCAAUAUCAUGAACAGAGAUU
rnacentral:lncRNA from 1 species